GACGAACGCUGGCGGCGUGCUUAACACAUGCAAGUCGAACGGUGAAGCGCCUUCCUUUUUGGUGGGUGUGGAUGAGUGGCGAACGGGUGAGUAACACGUGAGUAACCUGCCCCCUUCUUCUGGAUAACCGCAUGAAAGUGUGGCUAAUACGGGAUAUUCUGGGUCUGUCGCAUGAUGGGUCUGGGAAAGAUAUUGUUUCGGUGGGGGAUGGGCUCGCGGCCUAUCAGCUUGUUGGUGGGGUGAUGGCCUACCAAGGCGGUGACGGGUAGCCGGCCUGAGAGGGUGGACGGUCACACUGGGGCUGAGACACGGCCCAGACUCCUACGGGCGGCAGCAGUGGGGAAUAUUGCACAAUGGGCGCAAGCCUGAUGCAGCGACGCCGCGUGAGGGAUGGAGGCCUUCGGGUUGUGAACCUCUUUCGCCAGUGAAGCAGGCCUGCCUCGUUUGUGGGUGGGUUGACGGUAGCUGGAUAAGAAGCGCCGGCUAACUACGUG
rnacentral:rRNA from 1 species